AUUGAACGCUGGCGGCAUGCCUUACACAUGCAAGUCGAACGGCAGCACGGGUGCUUGCACCUGGUGGCGAGUGGCGAACGGGUGAGUAAUAUAUCGGAACGUACCUUAUUGUGGGGGAUAACGCAGCGAAAGCUGUGCUAAUACCGCAUAAUCCCUAAGGGGGAAAGCGGGGGACCGUAAGGCCUCGCGCAAUUAGAGCGGCCGAUACCUGAUUAGCUAGUUGGUGAGGUAAAGGCUCACCAAGGCAACGAUCAGUAGCUGGUCUGAGAGGACGAUCAGCAACACGGGGACUGAGACACGGGCCAGAAUCCUACGGGAGGCAGCAGUGGGGAAUUUUGGACAAUGGGGGCAACCCUGAUCCAGCAAGGCCGCGGGAGUGAAGAAGGCCUUCGGGUUGUAAAGCUCUUUUGUCAGGGAAGAAACAGCAGCUCUAACACAGUUUGCGAAUGACGGUACCUGAAGAAUAAGCACCGGCUAACUACGUGCCAGCCGCCGCCGUAA
rnacentral:rRNA from 1 species